CUAUAUAAGCCCCUCUGUUAACUUUUGUUCAAGCCUGUCUAGAUCUUUUAUCAGUCUAGAAAGAUGUUGGAGAAAAGACAUCAUCCUCUUCUAUAAUCUCCAUCUGUAAUUGGAUUAACAACUGGACCAGUGAAUGCAGGCAACUUACUCUCCAUUCGACCUUGCAGGUCACACCAUGGUCUCAAGAGGGAAAAUGAGUGCUCUAUGGAUUGAACAGAAAAGGUGAAUCAAAACUCCAACCAUCUGUAUGAGGGUCUGGAUGGAUAAAGGAUGCCCACUGGAGCUGGAAAUGAUGGAUCAGGUCAUUUUCAUUUGUCACAUUUACAAAGAAGCACACUCUAAGGAUUGCGUUACCCUGUCUGUGGCAAAUACACUAGACAAAAGUAUUGGGAGGCCUCAUUCUAAUAAACAUGUUUAUUUAUUCCAGUAUGUCCAAUCAAAACAAAUAUAAAUGCUAUACCAUAUAA